UGACCACCCUCUAAACAACUCAUCCCUCCGACACGUAUUUUUCCAGCUCUCACCCCUGCUUAACAAACAGACCAACCAUUGAAAAAGCAAGAAUCAGCAAAUGAUGACAAAUAAUGAAGCCCACAUUUAGAGAUUUUCAAUUUCAACUUCAGUUUUUCGUCAAUUUGAAAUUCUAAAAUUCUAAAAGUUCAAAACCUAUUAAGGGCGUCUUAUAUAGUUAACAAGAAAAAGCUGAAAAAGUUCAAAUCAUGAUUUUUUAACCUUUUUGAAACCUCAUCACACAACCAAGCACCCCAUGUUAGAAGUCUUGAAAUAACUUAAAUUUCAAUACACCCAAACACAUUUUUGGGUUAAAAUAAUGAAAAUGUAAACCCCAUCCAAGACACCCAAUGGUAACAUAACAAUAAACUCUCCACUAAUACACAAUCAUGUCUAUCUACCUGAGAUUAUCAGCCCACAAUGGCAGGUCUGCUCAUGAUUAACAGCAGAUCAUCUGACAGAAAGAGUCACGAAAUCAGCAAGUGUAAAUAAAAAGACAAGAAAUGCAAGUCCUAGCAGAACUCAGAAGAUAACCAUGGUUAUUACUAUCAUCUAUCCUAACUGGUAAGACUAUGAGAGCAAGUUAGGGGGAAAAUCAACAAAGACAAGCAGAAAUCACUACCAAAGGUGAGGAACCACCACUACACAAAUAAUCCUUCCAGAACAUCGACACGUCCUAACUCUAUUCACAGCUUGGUCAGUAAGUCUGUAUUCCACUUAACAACCAAUCAAUUAGAAGGACAAAGGUCAAUAAAAGGAAACAACACCACUUCAAAACAUUUAUAGAAUCAUUU